UACGGAGGUGGCAAGCGUUGCUCGGAAUCACUGGGCGUAAAGGGCGCGUAGGCGGGGAGGUAAGUCGGGUGUGAAAUCCCUCGGCCCAACCGAGGAACUGCGCCCGAGACUGCUUCUCUUGAGUCCCGGAGAGGAAGGUGGAAUUCCCGGUGUAGCGGUGAAAUGCGUAGAUAUUGGGAAGAACACCGGUGGCGUAGGCGACUCGCUGGGCCGCAACUGACGCUGAGGAACGAAAGCCAGGGGAGCGAAUGGG
rnacentral:rRNA from 1 species